UACGUAGGGGGCAAGCGUUGUCCGGAUUUAUUGGGCGUAAAGCGCACGCAGGCGGUCUCUUAAGUUUUGAGUGACAGGUGGUGGCUCAACUACCACAGGCCUUGGAAAACUGGGAGACUUGAGGACUUCAGAGGGAUGCGGAAUUCCAGGUGGAGCGGUGAAAUGCGUAGAGAUCUGGAAGAACACCAAAGGCGAAGGCACUCUGCUGGGCCGACACUGACACUGAGAGACGAAAGCUAGGGGAGCAAAUGGG
rnacentral:rRNA from 1 species